rnacentral:rRNA from 1 species
ACGAGGACGACGCUGGCGGCGUGCCUAACACAUGCAAGUCGAACGGAACUAAUUUGACUGAUUCCUUCGGGAUGAAGAAUUUUAGUUAGUGGCGGACGGGUGAGUAACGCGUGAGUAACCUGCCUCUGAGAGGGGAAUAACGUUCUGAAAAGAACGCUAAUACCGCAUAACACAUAUUUGCCGCAUGACAGAUAUGUCAAAGAUUUUAUCGCUCGGAGAUGGACUCGCGUCCGAUUAGUUAGUUGGUGAGGUAACGGCUCACCAAGACCGCGAUCGGUAGCCGGACUGAGAGGUUGAACGGCCACAUUGGGACUGAGACACGGCCCAGACUCCUACGGGAGGCAGCAGUGGGGGAUAUUGCGCAAUGGGGGCAACCCUGACGCAGCAACGCCGCGUGAAGGAUGAAGGUUUUCGGAUUGUAAACUUCUUUUAUCAGGGACGAAUUUUGACGGUACCUGAUGAAUAAGCUCCGGCUAACUACGUGCCAGCAGCGGC